AGUGGCGGACGGGUUGAGUAACGCGUGAGUAACCUGCCCUUAGGAAAGGGAUAGCGUCUGGAAACGGACGGUAAUACCAUAUAAAGUAUAUUAACGGCAUCGUAGAUAUACCAAAGCUGAGGCGCCUAAGGAUGGACUCGCGUCUGAUUAGAUAGUUGGUGGGGUAACGGCCUACCAAGUCGACGAUCAGUAGCCGGACUGAGAGGUUGAACGGCCACAUUGGGACUGAGACACGGCCCAGACUCCUACGGGAGGCAGCAG
rnacentral:rRNA from 1 species